GACGUAGGGGGCAAGCGUUGUCCGGAAUCACUGGGCGUAAAGAGCUCGUAGGCGGUCUGUUUAGUCGGGUGUGAAAGCCCUCGGCUCAACCGAGGAAUUGCACUCGAUACUGGCAGGCUAGAGUCAAGCAGAGGGAAGUGGAAUUCCCGGUGUAGCGGUGAAAUGCGCAGAUAUCGGGAAGAACACCGGUGGCGAAGGCGGCUUCCUGGGCUUGUACUGACGCUGAGGAGCGAAAGCUAGGGGAGCGAACAGGAUUAGAUACCCCCGUAGUCC
rnacentral:rRNA from 1 species